rnacentral:ncRNA from 1 species
AAAAGCAAUAGAGGUAGCGAUGUAAAUGAGUAAUUCGCGGAGCCGGCGGGCUUUGAAACGAAUGAAAGGUAACCAUCGCCGAACGGGACGAUCCGGCGGGAUCGUGUCGUGGGGAUGCAGAAAAUAUCUGUAUCACUCCUUCUUACGAAGUGGCGCUAUUAUUAUA